rnacentral:rRNA from 1 species
GAUCAUGGCUCAGGAUGAACGCUAGCUACAGGCUUAACACAUGCAAGUCGAGGGGCAGCAUGGUCUUAGCUUGCUAAGGCCGAUGGCGACCGGCGCACGGGUGAGUAACGCGUAUCCAACCUGCCUUACACUCUUGGACAGCCUUCUGAAAAGGGAGAUUAAUACAAGAUGUUAUCAUGGGUAAGCAUUUUCGCAUGAUUAAAGGUUUACCGGUGUAAUAUGGGGAUGCGUU